rnacentral:lncRNA from 1 species
ACAGCAAGCAUAGCCCAUCUGCAGUGAAUCAACUCAGAUUCCUUGUAUCUCUCAAGGUUCUCCGGCACCUCACCAAGUCUAAGUGGAUCAAAUCCAAAGUCACUGAAAAACCAAAUAUAUAUAUACACACAUUCAUAAGAAAUACUUAAAAAUUGCUACAAAAAGAAAAGAAAGAUGGAAUUUUUUUGUUUGAAACUUUACCCAGGUGCUGAACCAUCAAGAUAAGGAGGCCUAGGCUGACCAGGCAUCCAGUCAGCCGACAUGCUAACACGGUGACCAACAUUGGCGCCAAAGCUAGGCAACGGCGUAGCGGUGGAGAACUUGGACUUUGAAGAGGAAAGCACUGAAGGGAAAGCGGUGGCGAUGCCACAGCUCAUCAAUGUGUUGGUGGCGGCCAUGGGAGGAAAAUGGGUUUUCGUUUGGGG